rnacentral:rRNA from 1 species
AACGCUGGCGGCGUGCUUAACACAUGCAAGUCGAACGAGAUCCUUCGGGGUCUAGUGGCGAACGGGUGAGUAACACGUGAGCAACCUGCCCUUGGCUCUGGGAUAGCCUCCGGAAACGGGGAUUAAUACCGGACAUGACUCCUCGCGGCAUCGCGGGGGGUGGAAAGUUCUUCGGCCAGGGAUGGGCUCGCGGCCUAUCAGCUUGUUGGGGGGGUGACGGCCCACCAAGGCGACGACGGGUAGCCGGCCUGAGAGGGCGACCGGCCACACUGGGACUGAGACACGGCCCAGACUCCUACGGGAGGCAGCAGUGGGGAAUAUUGCACAAUGGGGGGAACCCUGAUGCAGCGACGCCGCGUGCGGGAUGAAGGCCUUCGGGUUGUAAACCGCUUUCAGCAGGGGCGAACACAGGACGGUACCUGCAGAAGAAGCGCCGGCUAACUACGUGCCAGCAGCCGCGGUAAUACGUAGGGCGCGAGCGUUGUCCGGAAUCAUUGGGCGUAAAGAGCUCGUAGGCGGCCUGUUGCGUCCGCUGUGAAAUCCCAGGGCUUAACCCUGGGCGUGCAGUGGAUACCGGCAGGCUGGANGCANGCANGGGAG